UUGGCAUGAAUGUACAUCGAUAUAUUGUGAAUCGAAAUAUAAUAUCAGUUCCCGUUUGACCCACUGAAAAUUUUUAAUUAAAAAAUUAAAACGGGAAAUUUGUACAUUUUGCUAUAAAUUUGAAGUUUUUAUUUUUUAAUUAAAAAUUUUCAGUGGGUCAAACGGGAACUGAUAUUAUAUUUCGAUUCACCAUAUAUCGAUGUACAUUUAUGCCAA
rnacentral:pre_miRNA from 1 species